rnacentral:sRNA from 1 species
GGGGCAGCCCAGGAAGGCCCCAAGAGGACAAUGGAUUCUGGAACUCGCCCAGUUGGUAGCUGCUGUAGCAGCCCCGCUGGGCUCUCACGGGAGUACAAACUAGUGAUGCUGGGUGCUGGUGGUGUAGGGAAGAGUGCCAUGACCAUGCAGUUCAUCAGCCACCGAUUCCCAGAAGAUCAUGAUCCCACCAUUGGUAAGCCAGAUCAUCACUUAUAUUUCCAAAUAUGCCCCAUAAAAAUAUCUUAAUGACUAUCAGUGGUUUCUAACUAUUUAUAUUCUGAGCUUUUUUUGGAGUCUAAUUCAGAUUUAUUUAGAAACAAGGGUAUCAGCAAUUGGUAAGCAACUGAAUAUUUCUUUUUUUUCAGACUUUAUGUCAUAAGCCAUAUUUAGUCUUAGUCUCUUACUGAACAUUAAUGGGACAACUCUCUUUGUUGUAUUUUUUUAUGGUUGUAUACAGGCCACUUAACGAAGCCUUUUCUUGCUGUCACUUCUCUAAGGGUAUGACUUGAGACUCGCUCAGUAACUGUGAGUCAGCUGGUUUGAACUU